rnacentral:rRNA from 1 species
GCUUAGAGAGGGGUCAAUGUCCUAUCAGCUAGUUGGUAGGGUAACGGCCUACCAAGGCGAAGACGGGUAGCCGGCCUGAGAGGGUGGUCGGCCACACUGGGACUGAGACACUGCCCAGACUCCUACGGGAGGCUGCAGUCGAGAAUCUUUCGCAAUGCCCGAAAGGGUGACGAAGCGACGCCGCGUGUGGGAAGAAGGCCUUCGGGUUGUAAACCACUGUCGGGAGUUAGGAAAUGUAAGGGUGCUAAUAGUAUCCUUACUUGACUAAGGCUCCGGAGGAAGCCACGGCUAACUCUGUGCCAGCAGCCGCGGUAAUACAGAGGCGGCAAGCGUUGUUCGGAAUUAUUGGGCGUAAAGAGCACGUAGGCGGCUUUGUAAGUCAGUUGUGAAAGCCUUCUGCUUAACGGAAGAACAGCAUCUGAUACUGCAAGGCUAGAGUGCGGAAGGG